GUUAACACUGAGAGGCCUCCCGCUGUUCCUGCACCCGCCUCAGAUGUGGUCACUCUUGAAUAUGAAUGCCCAGGGACAACAACCACUCAUGACAGUAUCGACGAGGCAAUUUCCUCAGGAGUGCUGCCUUGUGAUACCUAUGAUUACGAUACUGCAACGUUUGGGGUGCUGUCCGGGACAAUGACUGUCGAGGAACAACUAAGCAUGUUCACGGAAACUAACAACAAUGAGGCCCCAAGAUUUGUGUCUUGUGAAGAUCGUGUGGAAGGUAAAUGUAACAAGGACAACUUUUUUGUUAUAGAUUUGCUCUAUUCACAUAAUUUGGCAUCACCCAAAGUACUGUCCAUCUUGUUAUCCCUAUAAGCCCUAAGUGCCAGUAUGUGCAUGAAACAGAGGACAAAGGAAGAGUUUCGUUAACAAUUCCAAACUCACAUAUAGCUCAAGGUAUUUUUAACAUUCUUCCACAUGACAUGUUACCGGUGCAUUACUUAACAUUGUCUAAUAACAGUAAAAUAUUAUGAAUUUUGCAUACCUUUGGUGAACAUCUCUCUUAAACAUCAUUACUGCACCCAAAACUAUAGAUCUCAAUCUUGACUUUUGUUUAUUUCCAAAGCAAGGGAGUGUAGGCGAUUG